GAUGAACGCUGGCGGCGUGCCUAAUACAUGCAAGUCGAGCGAACAGACGAGGAGCUUGCUCCUCUGACGUUAGCGGCGGACGGGUGAGUAACACGUGGAUAACCUACCUAUAAGACUGGGAUAACUUCGGGAAACCGGAGCUAAUACCGGAUAAUAUAUUGAACCGCAUGGUUCAAUAGUGAAAGACGGUUUUGCUGUCACUUAUAGAUGGAUCCGCGCCGCAUUAGCUAGUUGGUAAGGUAACGGCUUACCAAGGCAACGAUGCGUAGCCGACCUGAGAGGGUGAUCGGCCACACUGGAACUGAGACACGGUCCAGACUCCUACGGGAGGCAGCAGUAGGGAAUCUUCCGCAAAGGGCGAAAGCUUGACGGAGCAACGCCGCGUGAGUGAUGAAGGUCUUCGGAUCGUAAAACUCUGUUAUUAGGGAAGAACAAAUGUGUAAGUAACUAUGCACGUCUUGACGGUACCUAAUCAGAAAGCCAUGGCUAACUACGUG
rnacentral:rRNA from 1 species